rnacentral:lncRNA from 1 species
UCAUAUACUUCGGCCCAGAUGCCACCGAUGAUUCUUCUUACGAUGAAAAAAAUCCUUCAUCCAAACGUAUUAUCCGUGAAAUUCAUCUGAAUCUCAAGAACAUACCUCAAAAAAAUCAAAUCCAUACCCAACAAUCACCGGUGAACAUUUGCAACGGUGGAUGGCCUAAAUACUUAUUCCAUCAUCUCAUGGAGUGAUUCUCAUCUAAAGCUUCGUUGUUUAGGAUUAUCACAAAUUUUCCACUCAAGCACAAUAAUUCACAAGUUUUGAGAGCCAACUGAUCAGUAAAUCUCUUCAAUCUAUGUUAAAUUAGUGAUACUCUUUUGUAUUUUGUUUUUUCCCAUAUAGGUUUGUUUCUCAAUCUUUUAUUGGAUUUUUGAGCAACUGGGUUUAGUAAUACAUGUUCUAAUUAUGGAGUUUCGUUGUGUUUAUUUUUAUAUAUUAGUAUUCAUUCUGGAAAAGGUUAGAGGGAGUGGACUGAAUUUUUAAGGUUAGAUUCAAUUUUUUUUCCACUGAAAUUGUACACUACCUGUUUGAUGGAAUGACAC